UAUCUCUCUGUACAGGGAAGGAUGAGAAUCUUCGAUUAAGGUUCGACUCGAGCGGAAGCGAGAGAACGUUGCCAACGGCAACGGCCCGAAGGGCGCGACGCGCCGAGUCAUCCUUCCCCCACCACAA
rnacentral:sRNA from 11 species